UACGUAGGUGACAAGCGUUGUCCGGAUUUACUGGGCGUAAAGAGCGCGCAGGCGGUCGUUCAAGUCGAGUGUGAAAGCCCCCGGCUCAACUGGGGAGGGUCACUCGAUACUGAUCGACUCGAAGGCAGGAGAGGGUAGUGGAAUUCCCGGUGUAGUGGUGAAAUGCGUAGAUAUCGGGAGGAACACCAGUGGCGAAGGCAGCUCGCUGGGACGUUACUGACGCUGAGACGCGAAAGCGUGGGGAGCAAACAGG
rnacentral:rRNA from 1 species